ensembl:snoRNA
CAUGCCCCUACAGGUGUUGCAGAUGUGGCUGUCGUGCCACAGCUGUGUCAUUAGGUGGCGAAAGAAAGAGGUUGCGUCUACGCUCGGUGUUCUGAAACCCACGAGCACUCAGAAUGAUUAACAGCCUGACAUGC